GUGGACAGGAGGAGAGAUUUAGAAAGACAAACAGCCACCUGCCCCUCUGCUUACAGAGCAGCUUAAUGCCUGUAUUCCUAUAUGAGCUGAUUUUAAGAAUGUAUAAAUUGCGACACGUUACUGAAGGCGGAUAACUGGAUGACUUCCCUGACGCUUCAAACACAGGCCCACCUCUAGAAGAAGCCUCAAAUUAUCAAUGAUCUGACCACUACUGGCAAUAACUGAGCCUCUACAUAUUGUGAUUAAAUCUGACACUUCUUUUGGCUGUAGUAAGAGACAUUCUGCUUGGGGACAUCUUUUCUCCUGGAAGUGCACCAAGUUCUAUGUUUCAAGAAGGGAUGUUAAUUACUGCUUAAAAUUAACACUAUGAGAGACUGCAAGGAAGAUGACUGAUGCAACUUUGCAAGACAUCUAGAAACCCUCAACUGUUUGUCACCAUCACAAUAUUCAGAUUGAGGGUGGGCUGCCUGGAGCUUUCUGAGACUCUUUUCUACCGAUGAUUGGCUGCCUUGAAAUGAGAAAGGCAAGGAUGGACAAGAUGGGGAAAUGAGGAAUUUGUCAAGCCCAUGGGAGAUCUACAGUUCAGCCAAGUCCUGUAAGACCAGCUCCAAGACCAGUUUUCUCUUGUGGAGUUGGUGAUGCCAAGAACAGGUGCUCAUAAAAUGAAGAAAUUUCUGCCCUGAUGGAACUGGAGCUUGUGUAGAAAUGUCUGAGCUGCUCAGAGAGAUGGGUACCACUGUGACGGCAGCCUCAGCACAGCAGGCCAAAGAGAGGUGACCAAACCCUCCUGGAAACUGGUAAAUACAUCCAAGACAGGUCCAUGCUGCCAUCAUUAUCUGAUUGGCAUUGCUAGAAAUGAAUAGUUGAAAGCCAGCUCAGACAUAUCUCUGUGACACAGUGUGAACAUCCUCCUAACAGCAAGGAGCAAACCCCAAAGCUGGGUGUGCAGGGCCUCUUUGGCUCCUAGAGGGGCUGUUUUCCAUGUUUGGAAAACAUUGUUUUCCAUGAAGAGUUUAUGAGAAUCUGUUCUUUCUCUAUGCUAACCUAAGGUGCCUCUUCUAUAUUUUCUUAGGAUUGAGAAAUCCCUAUUUGCAGUCCUGGCGAAGUUCUAAUACCAAAUCUUUUGAUAUAGAUGAGGAUUAAUUCAUACUGCACUGCAGCUGAACUUGAUCAAAUAAUUUUUGAAA